rnacentral:rRNA from 1 species
GAGUUUGAUCUUGGCUCAGAUUGAACGCUGGCGGCAGGCCUAACGCAUGCAAGUCGAGCGGAUGACGGGAGCUUGCUCCUUGAUUCAGCGGCGGACGGGUGAGUAAUGCCUAGGAAUCUGCCUGGUAGUGGGGGACAACGUUUCGAAAGGAACGCUAAUACCGCAUACGUCCUACGGGAGAAAGCAGGGGACCUUCGGGCCUUGCGCUAUCAGAUGAGCCUAGGUCGGAUUAGCUAGUUGGUGGGGUAAUGGCUCACCAAGGCGACGAUCCGUAACUGGUCUGAGAGGAUGAUCAGUCACACUGGAACUGAGACACGGUCCAGACUCCUACGGGAGGCAGCAGUGGGGAAUAUUGGACAAUGGGCGAAAGCCUGAUCCAGCCAUGCCGCGUGUGUGAAGAAGGUCUUCGGAUUGUAAAGCACUUUAAGUUGGGAGGAAGGGCAGUAAGUUAAUACCUUGCUGUUUUGACGUUACCGACAGAAUAAGCACCGGCUAACUCUGUGCCAGCCGCCG